rnacentral:other from 1 species
AGGAUCCUAGAUUGCUCGUGAAGACUCUAUUGCUUGAGCCAACACAUCAACAUAGGGAGCUCUACCGUUCUUGUCCUGAGAACAGGCCUCAACAGCAUCCGGAGGAAGUUUGAUGGGAAAGACAGAGCACCCACCUGCCAGCGCAGGUUCAACGCAAGAGGAUUAAGCAACGGCACUACCGGGAUCCUU